UAUAUAUGUAUAUAUAUAUAAAGAUUAUAUAAGAUAUAUAUGUAUAUGUAUAUAAAUGCAAAUACAGGUCAUCGAAUUGACGCAAUUCUCGAUAUAUUCGCGAGACAAAGUAAUCGGAAACGGUCUAUUUCUCUUGAGUUCGUUUUCGUGCGCAAGUGCUUUCCAUAUCUAACCUUUGUAUAUAUACGUAUAUAUACAUAUAUACACACAUAAUACCAAAUGCUUCUUGAUCUUUUUGUUCGGCAUUUUUCGCAUGUAUCUCGUAUCCGAUCACCGAUUAUUCCGAUCCUCUCAGGAUUUUAUGUUCGUUCUGUUAUAUCUUUUCUAACUCGAGCUUUUCUCGAUAUUUUUGCGCAUUGUUGUUCCUCGCGUCUCCCUGUUACUUUACUAACCUCUACGCUCCCUGUUUGCUUCGAUCUCCCUUUUUCUUUUUUCCUUUUCUCUCUCUCUCUCUCUCUCUCUCUCUCUCUCUCUCUCUCUCUCUCUAUCCAUGAGUCGAGAUGCGCUGCAGUCGACUUCCACUUGGUCGAGCGUGAUCGAAAUUGAUCUACGCGGUACAAAAGAGUGUAUCGACGGUCGGGACACUUCGGUCGGGCCGAUAGCAAAAGAGUUAAUUAUAAAGAGCCGAGCAUCAAAAUCCGAUACGUUGUCCAUCGUUGUUACUAACGGCGAUGACCAAUGAAGCCUCAGUGCGCGUUCGCUCGAUCGCGAACUGAACGUCGACCGGUUUAUCGGACAUGGUAAGAUCGAUAUGUAGCGGCAGAUAGGUUAGAAGAAAGAGACACUCGAUUUCAUAAUAAAAUAAAAAAACACCAAGUUCGUUUUUAUUCAGACCGGGAUUAUCCGAGAAUCGAUGGUUGUUGUGUACCGGUAUAUAUGUUUUAUUGUGAUUGAAGAAAGGUUAGUUUAUAUCGAUGGCGCUGCGAUAUGCAAUUUUUUUUUUUCAGUAUACACAAUGUAUGCCGUAAGCUGACAAAUGAUGAGAAAUACACAUCAUAAUUUUUCUGUAUCGAAAUGUAUUGAACAAUUUACCUCGGAACUCUCGCUCGGAUAAUCGCUUGGCAACGAAUGGUCGAUCAUCAAGUUCGCAUCGCUACCGGUAGUGGAUGGAGACACAUGUAUGAGCAACCGAGGCCGAGCAAUAGCAACGAGAGAAAGAGAAUGGCGCAGAUGAUGAGCAUAAUUUGAAAUCCUGUUAAUGGCGGUUCGGGCAAUGGAGCUGGUGCUGGAGUGGCCAAACUGUUGGAAAAGAAAAACAUCCAGCCUUAAGAGAUCUAAUUUUCAAGAAGCAUAAAGGAUCCAUUUAUUAAUAAAAUUGGAUAAGAAAUUUAGUGGAACGGCAAUAAUUCAUCAAGAGGCAAAAAAAGAAAAAGUCUUGAGGAAAAAGAACGAGUGAAGGAUGAUCUUGCUUAUGAAGCAGCAAAACUUUGUCAAUAAUUAAUACUUUCUUUGGUAAAUGGAAUAAUCGAUAUUUUAGAAAUAAAAUUUUAUACUUUUAAUA